GACGAACGCUGGCGGCGUGCCUAACACAUGCAAGUCGAACGGGACCGGGGGCAACUCCGGUUCAGUGGCGGACGGGUGCGUAACACGUGAGGAACAUGACCUUCGGCGGGGGAUAGCCGGCCCAACGGCCGGGUAAUACCGCGUACGACCUUUCGGGGACAUCCCUGGAUGGUGAAAGCAGCAAUGCGCCGAUGGAGUGCCUCGCGGCCUAUCAGCUAGUUGGUGGGGUAACGGCCUACCAAGGCGACGACGGGUAGCUGGGCUGAGAGGAUGGCCAGCAACAUUGGGACUGAGACACGGCCCAGACUCCUACGGGAGGCAGCAGUGGGGAAUAUUGCGCAAUGGACGAAAGUCUGACGCAGCGACGUCGCGUGUGGGAUGACGGUCUUCGGAUUGUAAACCACUGUCGGGAGGGACGAAUACGCCGCAAGGCGGGUGACGGUACCUCCAAAGGAAGCACCGGCUAACUCCGUGCCAGCAGCCGCCGUAAAAC
rnacentral:rRNA from 1 species